UCGAGAAUUUUUCACAAUGGACGAAAGUCUGAUGGAGCGACGCCGCGUGGAGGAUGAAGGUUUUCGGAUUGUAAACUCCUGUCACUGCAGAACAAGGGUGUGUUAGUUAACAGCCAACACAUUUGAUGGUAUGCGGAGAGGAAGGGACGGCUAACUCUGUGCCAGCAGCCGCGGUAAGACAGAGGUCCCGAGCGUUGUUCGGAUUCAUUGGGCGUAAAGGGUGUGUAGGAGGCCAGGUAAGUCAGGUGUGAAAUCUCAGAGCUUAACUCUGAAACUGCGCUUGAUACUGCUUGGCUAGAGGAUCGGAGGGGGUAACGGAAUUUAUGGUGUAGCAGUGAAAUGCGUAGAUAUCAUAAGGAACACCGGUGGCGAAGGCGGUUACCUGGAAGAUUCCUGACUCUGAAACACGAAAGCCAGGGGAGCAAACGGGAUUAGAUACCCGCGUAGUCC
rnacentral:rRNA from 1 species